AACUAGUGAUACAAAUGUAGUUAGUGUAACAUCCAAUCAGGAAGAAAGUAACAAAAGUGAUAAUAAACAAACAGAAGGGUUAAUUGAAGUAGAGAUACAUAGCAAUAUAGAGAGAACAAUAGAUACAGACCAGACAGGUUCUAUACAGGUUGAUGUAUCGACAGUAAAUACUGAUGACACUCCUGUUGUAUAAUGUUUUAUUGUAACUGUAAAUCUAGUGUAUU
rnacentral:lncRNA from 1 species